UGAAUGAAGCCAGGAACUAUUGGAAUAGUCGAAUCUAGAAAAAAAUAAUUAACUCGGUUAAUACGCUCGAGGAUACGGUUAGUAACAGCAAUAUAACGGCAAUAGGCCGAAGGAGAGAGCAAUGUAUGUGUCACAGGGGCCUAUUGCGGGUGCCAAGGACCCUACUGAACUGCUUCCGCCAGGCAUGACUCCGCCUGCUCGGCCCGAAGAGAGC
rnacentral:lncRNA from 1 species